GUGCUCACUUUGACAGCACAUAUACCAAAACUGGAACUAUUCAGAGGUUAGCAUGGCCCCUGAGCAAGGAUGACAUGCAUAUUUGUGAAGCAUUUUAUAUAUUU
ensembl:snRNA U6 U6 spliceosomal RNA